UACGAAGGGGGCUAGCGUUGCUCGGAAUCACUGGGCGUAAAGGGUGCGUAGGCGGGUCUUUAAGUCAGGGGUGAAAUCCUGGAGCUCAACUCCAGAACUGCCUUUGAUACUGAGGAUCUUGAGUACGGGAGAGGUGAGUGGAACUGCGAGUGUAGAGGUGAAAUUCGUAGAUAUUCGCAAGAACACCAGUGGCGAAGGCGGCUCACUGGCCCGUAACUGACGCUGAGGCACGAAAGCGUGGGGAGCAAACAGGG
rnacentral:rRNA from 1 species